CGCCAGGCGCGCGCGCCGCGCCUCCUCGCCGUUUCCGCGUUUCCUUCCUGAACGGCGACCCCGAUGCCACGGCCGGAUGCCAAAAUCGGCAACCCGGAGCGCGCGCCGUCGUAUAUAAGGAUGCCUCGUUUCCCUUGCCCUAGCCCGCGCCUCCUCCGACCCUCACCCGCCUCCGGCCCACGAGACCCUAACCCACUCCGGCGAGUAGAUCCGGCACGUCCUGCUCUCUCCGCCACCAGCCGCCAGAGAUGGCCGCCCGCAAUUCAUCUGCGCCCGCCGCACACCCGCUCCACCAGGAUUCCGUCGCCGCCCCCAACUCGCCCCUGCUCGCCGCCGACCCGCUCCACCAGGCUGCCGUGGCCAACCCCAACUCUCCCGUGCUCGCCGCCAACCCGGUCCACCAGGCCAGCGCGGCGGCGUCGUCGGGGAUGUACGGCGCUCCUGGGGCCCUCCCAACCGAGCAAGGGUCUUUGACGGUGCUGCCGCCCCUGCCGCCGCCACAAGGCGCGCCUGUGAUGAAGACGGUCCAGGGCGUGAACAUGAUGGUUCCGACGCCCCUGCAAGGACCCCCGGUGAUGCAAGGGGCAAACACGGUGGUGCCGAUGCCCCUGCGGGAGCUGGUCAUGACCGUGCCCCUACAAGGCAGACCUGUGAUGGCACCUCUGCCUUUCCCCGCAGGUCCUCCAUCCAUGAUGGCACCUCCGUCCUUUUAUGAUGUCGCUUCACCAAUGACGGUGCAGCAGCCUCCACAUGCCGGAUACAUGAUGGGCCAGCCGCUGUUGCGUGCCAGCCCUCCACCGAUGGCGGCGCUGCAUCUCCCACAGGCCGUACACAUGGUGGCACAGCCGCCUUUGCCAGCUGGCCCCCCUCCUCUGAGGCGUCGCCGUCCUGACUACUUUGACAUGCCUUUUGGACCGCGGAUGACUGGUUUUGAGCUGGAAAUGGCUGGAUUUGAUGAAUCAAUGGGACUGCCUUAUGGGCCUUACAUAAACAAUGAGAUGCCUUCUGUUGGUUCGUAUGAGCCACAUCUUCCUUCAGACGCAUCAAACACCCUACAUGUUGAAGGUUUCCCACCCAACUGUACUAGACGGGAGCUUGCACAUAUAUUUCGCUCUUUUACUGGGUUCUGUGUAGUAAGGCUGGUCAACACAGGAUAUAAUAAUCGACAUGUAAUAGCUUAUGCUGACUUCUAAACUCUUGCCCAAGCCUUCUCCGCCAUGAAGUCUCUGCAAGGUUAUUUGUUUGACAUGCAUGACCUCUACUCAGUCAAAUUGGACUCCAGUUCCUUCCUGGUCCGUCCAAGGCAUCAAGGUCAAGACCAUAUUUCUGUGAAAUGCGUUGAAAGGAUUCUGACGAUAUUGUCGUUGGUGAUGUUAAGAGUCGCUGAAGAACUCAUUGCGUUAGACAUUGCUAUUCAUCCAAGACAUGAAAAGCAAAUGAGACCACAUCAGUUGGCAGGCAUGUAUUACCGCAGAAAAAGAAAGCCUUCCGACCCCAUCAAUAAUCUUUCACUUACUGCAAAUACGAUUUGCAGUUGGAGAUGUGGCAGUGUUACCGAGGAGUGGGACAGCUUGUAUGCUCAGAAGGUCCAAUUGUUAACUUUGCUUUCUACUCUGCCCGAGCCCGCUCUGAGUUAUGGGCCGAGUGUUCAAACCAAUAUGGCCAAUUCUAUUGAGCAAAGAGAACAGAAAAAGAGUGACAUAAUAGUUCUUGAUUUGGAUGAUGAUGAUGAAAGCACAGGAGCACACAAACAACUGAUGCCUGAGAAAAACAAACAGCUCACAUCUUAGAAAAAUAAACAGCUGAUAUAUCAGAACAGGCUGGUGCUCUCAUGAGGGUGGUAACCGAAGGAAUUGAUGAAGUAAAUGAGACAAUGCAUGAUAGAGACCAAAACAGUCAAAUUGUUCCAUAUAGUCCAAGUGCAACUUUAAUGAAUCAGUAUCCUUCAGCCAGCUAUCAACCAUUAGCAGUUCUGUUUGAGAGAGUUAUAUUGCAGAAAAGACCUGAGGAGGAACGUAUCCAUGAUCUAGUUGUGUGUACUUUUCACUUGCAAUUUUUUACUGAACUACUCCACGUAAUGUGGUCCUUACACUUUUCCAGAAUUACGUCGCAGAAGUGUUCAACAUCUUGAACCUUUUAUGCCCAAAGUUUCUCAAGAUAGUAGCAUAUAUCCUAUUGUUGAUAAUGAAUCAAGUAUCAAUAUCAGGUUGCAGAGUCAGUAGAAGAUGCCCUACUGCAUCAUGAUAACCACGAGAAAAGCAUAUGUCAUUAGAAGUCUUCAGAGAACUAACAAAAAUCGUGCUUCACUACUACAAGGGUGAUUCUUGGAUGAACUACGUGACCUAGUAGACUUCAGUAUCUUAAGAAAGAAAUCGUUCAUAAGUUGGAAGCCUAUGAGAAGUAAAAAAAACCGCAGUAGGAACUUCCCUGUACAUGCAUCCAUGUCUGUCAGAAAUAUUAGAAGUUGAUGCUGCAGAUAGGGCUUGCAGCUUGACAGAUGUAAUUGUUGAUAGUCUGGUCCGGUCAAUCAACGUGGCUGACGGUGUGAAAGCCAGAUUUUUCACCAAUAUCCUGGCACUUGUGGAAUCUGCGGUAGAGAAGGUCAUUGCAUUUAGUCAGUACAUUACUUCCCAUGAAUUUUUUGGAAAGUCUAUUGGUUAAGACAAGGGGCUGGCAAGUAGGAGAGUUCUUUGUGAUCCGUGGUGAUAAUAAAUCUACUUCAGAAGAUAGAGAACUGACAAUGGAUCAGUUUAACAACACUAUUGAUGCAAAAGUCCUGUUUGGCUCUACCAAGGCAUGCAGGGAGGGCAUCUCCCUGGUGGGCGCAUCAAGAGUCUUCGUUCUAGAUGUUCACUUGAACCCUUCUGUUACCCGUCAGGCAAUCGAGCGGGCGUACUGGCCUGGGAAGCAAAAGGAAGUGUUGGCUCGUAGCAGCUGAUUCUCUGGAGAACACCUAUGAAACUGCAUUCAAGAAGGAGGUGAUACCAAAGCUGUGGUUUGAAUGGAGUGAGCAGCGCUGCACGUCGGAGGACUUCCAGCUGAACGAAGUUGAUAUCGAUGACAGUGGGGAUGAGCUGCUGGAAAACAGGAUGAUAUGCUGGGACAUCAAGGCUUUUUAUAUGCAAGGUGAAGGAGGCUGGCUGUUGUACGUACACAAUGUAUAUAUGGCUUUCCGACCGUUCGAGAUUGUCAUUGUUGUCAAGUAAGGCUCCUCUAGAACCGAAAGAAAGAGGAAAAGUACUUGACUUGGUACCUCUUUACAGAUACCUUAUAUUGGUUCUUAUGGGCCUUCUCUUCCUUCAGAUGCAUCAAACACUCUACAUGUUGAAAGUCUCCCAUCCAACUGUACUAGACGGGAGCUUGCACGUAUGUAUCCCUUUAUGCAUAUGACUCUCUUGCUAUUUUUUUUUGACAUUUUGUUCAUAACUGAACUAUAUUUUAUGUUUGUCCUUACCAAUCUAUGUCUCAAUCUUUUCUUUUCUGUUUUUGUUUUCACCAUUUAGUGCAUAAGCUCCUUGACUCUUGCCUUUUACCGGGUUCUGUGAAGGCUGGUCAAAGAGGAUAUAAUAGUAGACACCUAAUAGCUUAUGAUGUCUUAGAAACUCCUGCCUCGGCGAUUUUUGCCAUGAAGUCUCUGCAAGGUUAUUUGUUUGACAUACAUGACAAAUACUCGCUCAAAUUGGACCUUCAAUUAUUUGCUGGUCCGAGGUCAACUGAUGCAUCUUCGUGGGUUUUGGUUUCUUCAAUAUCAAUCUAAAACCUUCAAUUUGCAACUGCUUCCUUUGCUUUUGUUUCCUCAUGAACGAGAAUGGACAACUUGAUUGUUUCUUGGGCCUUACCUGAUAUGAUAUGAUGAGCCUAUAUUAGAAUUGGAAUUGGUAUUAUAAGUUGCAUGUUGUAUGAGAUGCUCGAGUUUGUUAUUUCAUAUUGUAACUUAUCAUGUACUCCCUCCGUCCCAUAAUGUAAGACGUUUUUUGACUCUGGUGUCAAAAAACAUCUUACAUUAUGGGAAGGAGGGAGUAUCUGCAUGACCCAUACAAGACAAUAUGCGACAGUGGAUCAAACAUUCAAACUUUUUGUGAGCAUCCAAAGGUUUUUUAUUACAAAUGUUUAACAAAAGUAAAAGUUUUAUGUUUGGUGGGCGUAUUAUGUCUGUCUCCAAUCUCAUGGAUUGACAUUAAUAUUUAGAAAAUGGAUGCCUUUUGCAAUUACUUGAGAUGGAAUUCGCCAUGGAAGAUAUCAUGUAGCUUUUGUAUGUUACAACUUGCGUUAGUGAUAUUACAUAUAGUUAAAUACUUUUUGUAUCCAAAUAGCUGGAAUAGCUCAGUUGGUUAGAGCGUGUGGCUGUUAACCACAAGGUCGGAGGUUCAAGCCCUCCUUCUAGCGAGUUUUUUUCCACUUUUCGUGCAUGUGUGAUAUAAAAAGAAAUCCAAAUGUAUUAUUUUAGUAUCAUGUAUUUGCACUAUACACUCUAAUUAUAGUUGUUGGAUUCUUCCUACACAUAGCUAUUUAUCCCAUCAUUCCUUGUAUGGAUCCCCCUAACAUAUUCUCUGCACCGGUCAUGUCAUGUGCUUAUUUCAACAUAAACUCAAGAUUGUUGGGUAAUCUAUUUAAUUUGUAUGAACAAAACAGCAUGAAAGACUGCCUGUAUAAUGAUCAAUGGCCAUAAUUAAGCAUGUAGCUUUGAAGACCUGGAGAUUUUAGUACAUGUUGAGCAUUUGAACUGCUUUUAAUUUGCGAUGAUAAAUAAUAGGGUAUUAGUAUGCCAUCUUGACAGUUGGUACAACCACUAAAGUGUUCUUGCUUUUGCCAUUCAAAUUUUGACUACAUAGAACUAGGACCCUUUUGUAUGGAAUUUAUGGAUCUAACUAAAACAAACUUUUCUACAUCUAAGGACUGUACUACAGUUUAGUUAGUCCAAUGCUUACCAUGUUUUGCCUGUGUAUAUGCAAUAUACAUUUAGUUAUAUUUCUGGUUGAAGAGAAGGGUUGGGCGAUACUAACUAUAGUGUCAAGAUGCUUGCAUUGUCUUUAACUUACUUUACAGUUGCAAUACUAGUUACUGGAUUCCAUCCCUCAUGUUUUUAGAUAUUAUGGAAUAAUGGCUAUAUCAGACCGUGAUCCCUCUACAGUCGUAGUUGUCCAAAGAAUUCUUUAUUUGGCUAUCACUGCCUAUGUACCUUGUGAGCUAGUGUUGUCGAAGAAAUCGUCAAGAAUAGAUGACUUUGUGUAUGUUGCUUCUCCUAAAAGUGGAAGCACCAUUUUUUUUAGGUGCAUUGUUGCCAUGCAUUAUAAAAAUGACAGGUAUGUGAGGAUUAACAAUGGUAGGAUGUGGAACAUGCAGUUUGUGCUCAAAUUUUUCCUUUUCUUUUCGAAACGGAACAGUUUGUGCCAAAAUUUUAUCAAUAAGCUGGUCUGUUCAACAAACGGUGGGAUGUUUUGCAUUUUUGUGAGAAUUUCAAGUCUACCUUUCUAUUUCUACAGUGUUUUACUUUUAGUAUAAAUAAAUAGAUAGAUAGAUGAUGUGGCCUGGCUACAUUACGCAAGACAUGGGUUUAGUAACAAAUAUGGAACUUUGGAUUAUCAUUAUUUUCAAUUUUUUACAUGGUAUUCAUGAAAUUUAAAUGUAUCAUUGGAACAAUCAAUUAACAUUGUGUUUACCUCAUGUGAGGCAUCAAGGUCAAGAUCAUAUUUUUGUGAAAUGCGUUCAAAGGAUUCUGAUGAUAUUGUCAUGGGUGAUGUUAGAGUCGCUGAAGAACUCAUUGCGUUAGACAUUUCUAUUCAUCCAACACAUGAAAAGCAAAUGAGAGCACAUCAGUUGGCAGGUUUCCACUUUCUGUUUAAGAAUUUAGUCUCUGACAAACCAGGAGGUACCAUUCUAGCUCAUGCCCCUGGUUCGGGGAAAACAUUUAUGCUGAUUAGUUUCAUUCAGAGCUUCCUGGCAAAGUAUCCCUCUGGAAGGCCCUCUGGAAGGCCUCUUGUUGUACUUCCAAAAGGCGUAUUAGGUACAUGGAAAAGGGAAUUUCAAUGGCGACAAGUGGAGGACAUACCACUAUAUGAUUUGUAUUUGUGAAGGGUGACAAAGCAGAUCAUUUGGAAAUCUUAACUCUUGGCAAGCCAAUAGGAGUAUCCUCAUGGUUGGAUACACUGGGUUCUCUUGGAUCAUUAACAGUGAUGGGGUUGGCACCAUUGCUUCAUGCUGGGACAUGUUGCUUAUGUUCCCUAACCUACUUAUAAUGGAUGAGGGCCAUAUAGCUCGGAAUGAGUCUGACUAAUGUGCUAGAAUCACUACGCAAAGUAUGUACUCCACGUAAGUCCUAUCUGGUACACUUUUCCAGAAUCGCAUUGCAGAAGUGUUCAACAUCUUGAACCUUGUACGCCCAAAGUUUUUCAAUAUAGUAUCAUCUUGACUGUAUAAUGAGUCAAGUAUCAAUAUCAGCUUGCAGGAUUUCAAAAGGAGUCACUGAUAAAUUCACCAAGUCAGUCAAAGAGACCCUGCUGCAAUGAUGAUAACUUCACGAGAAAAGCACAUGUCAUUAGAAGUCUCAGAGAACUAACAAAAUACGUGCUUCACUACUACAACUCUACAAGGGUGAUAUCUUGGAUAAACUACCUGGCCUAGUAGACUUCAGUGUCUUCUUGAAACUCAAUCCCAAGCAGAAAGAAAUCGUUCAUAAGUUAAAGUUGAAAGCCUUUGAGAGGUUCAAAAAACCCGCAGUAGGAACUGCCCUGUACAUGCAUCCAUGUCUGUCAGAAAUGUCAGAAGUUGAUGCUACAGAUAGGGUUUCCAGCUUGACAGAUGUAACUGUUGAUAGUCUGGUCCAGUGUAUCAUCGUGGCUGACGGUGUGAAGGCCAGAUUUUGUCAGCUGGGUUGCCGUGGCACUGUGGAUAGUAUCGCUGGCCCAGUUUGGCAUCGCAAGUGAAGGGGAGGAAGGACUGGAGACUCUUCUUCAACACGCUUUUCUGGAACCUCGACUAGUGGGAUAGCGCAAGCACCAUGGCGGCAAGGUGGAGCGGCCGGAGCGGAUGUUCCUCCGGCGCUGGCGGUGGCGGUUGUUCUGAUCGCUGUCGAUUUGCGGUGCUGCCGCUUAUGGCCGCCACAGGCACCACGGACGCACCGUCGGAUACCUGGGUCAAUGGCUACUUGGCCGAUGCCGCAGGCGCGUACAAACGCUUCUUAGUAUCAGAAUUAUUACAGGUUGUUCUUAUCGUUGUGAGGCAAAAGUUUUUCGUCAUUUUGUUUGUUCUCAUUCUCAUUCGCUUUCUUUGGUUUUAUCAUGUGCCUACAUAAACGUCUUAUAUAUCUUGAGACGGAGGUAAUAGCAAUCAUCUAUCUUAUAUAUGCAUUAGAAACAAAAACAUAGGAUAUCUAUGUAUCAAUAUACUUACUGCCGCCUCCUUGCAAAUAAAUAUGUAUACUUGCUGCCGCCGGUCA